rnacentral:rRNA from 1 species
UACAGAGGGUGCGAGCGUUAAUCGGAGUUACUGGGCGUAAAGGGCGCGUAGGCGGCCUGGCAAGUGGAAGGUGAAAUCCCUCGGCUUAACCGAGGAACUGCCCUCCAAACUGCUUGGCUUGAGUCCGGGAGAGGUGAGUGGAAUUCCCAGUGUAGCGGUGAAAUGCGUAGAUAUUGGGAGGAACACCAGUGGCGAAGGCGGCUCACUGGACCGGAACUGACGCUGAUGCGCGAAAGCGUAGGGAGCAAACGGGG